rnacentral:lncRNA from 1 species
GUCUCGACAACACAUCUCUUGGAGUUCUAGCUCACUUUUCUAGUGUUGUUCUUGUACUCAUCUGUUUAAUCUAGUUCUGCCACUUCUUCUUGAGCUUCUUGUUAGAUUUCAAGUCUGUAUUUUGUGUCAGUGACAGUUUGUCGAGACUACACUAACUUGAGAUAUCAGAGCUAGUUCUUUCUUAGUAGAGUGUGAAUUACCCCUCUACUUGAAGGUAUACUAGCAUUUUUUAGAGGUUGCGGAUUACCCUCCUCUAAACUGAUACUUCUUCUGUUACAAUAUUGGAGUCUUAUUCUUCUGGGAGAGACUGGAUUACUCCUCUUCUUGAAAUUCUUAAGGCGUUUUAUAGGUUGUGGAUUACCUUCCUAUAAACCAAUAUCGCCUCUUAUAGGGUCAUUUUUGUCCUUCUUUUAGAAUGGCCGGAGGUCAAGACAUUAGUAUGACAGAAAGUUCGGAGUCUAAGUUAGAUGCUAUUAUGAAUGUCCUCGCUACGUUAUCACAAAGAACUGCAGAGAUUGAAGGAGUGGUGGCAAGGCUUCAUAAUGAUGGAGUAUCUGGGAUAGCACAAUCUAAACUACACCAGCCUCAAAUUUCGGCACUUGGAGAAAUAACUUUACCUUAGGUUCGAC